rnacentral:rRNA from 1 species
GACGAACGCUGGCGGCGUGCCUAAUACAUGCAAGUUGAGCGCUGAAGGUUGGUACUUGUACCAACUGGAUGAGCAGCGAACGGGUGAGUAACGCGUGGGGAAUCUGCCUUUGAGCGGGGGACAACAUUUGGAAACGAAUGCUAAUACCGCAUAAAAACUUUAAACACAAGUUUUAAGUUUGAAAGAUGCAAUUGCAUCACUCAAAGAUGAUCCCGCGUUGUAUUAGCUAGUUGGUGAGGUAAAGGCUCACCAAGGCGAUGAUACAUAGCCGACCUGAGAGGGUGAUCGGCCACAUUGGGACUGAGACACGGCCCAAACUCCUACGGGAGGCAGCAGUAGGGAAUCUUCGGCAAUGGACGAAAGUCUGACCGGGCAACGCCGCGUGAGUGAAGAAGGGUGUCGGAUCGUAAAACUCUGUUGGUAGAGAAGAACGUUGGUGAGAGUGGAAAGCUCAUCAAGUGACGGUAACUACCCAGAAAGGGACGGCUAACUACGUG